rnacentral:rRNA from 1 species
CGCGGCCUAUCAGCUUGUUGGUGAGGUAACGGCUCACCAAGGCAUUGACGGGUAGCUAGUCUGAGAGGACGAAUAGCCACACUGGGACUGAGACACGGCCCAGACUCCUACGGGAGGCAGCAGCAGGGAAUCUUGCACAAUGGACGAAAGUCUGAUGCAGCGACGCCGCGUGGGGGAUGAAGGCCCUAGGGUCGUAAACCCCUUUCAGUGGGGACGAAACUGACGGUACCCACAGAAGAAGGUCCGGCCAACUACGUGCCAGCAGCCGCGGUAAGACGUAGGGACCGAGCGUUGUCCGGAAUUAUUGGGCGUAAAGAGCUCGUAGGCGGUUGCGUAAGUCGGAUGUGAAAACUCGAGGCUCAACCUCGAGACGCCAUCCGAUACUGCGCUGACUUGAAUCCAGUAGGGGAGUGUGGAAUUCCUGGUGUAGCGGUGAAAUGCGCAGAUAUCAGGAGGAACACCUAUGGCGAAGGCAGCACUCUGGGCUGGUAUUGACGCUGAGGAGCGAAAGCGUGGGUAGCAAACAGGAUUAGAUACCCUGGUAGUCCACGCCGUAAACGGUGGGCACUAGGUGUGGGGACUUUCAACGGUUUCCGUGCCGAAGCUAACGCAUUAAGUGCCCCGCCUGGGGAGUACGG